rnacentral:lncRNA from 1 species
AGCUCACAGGGGCGGGGGUCCCGAUUCUUUGCCAGCUGUUGGGUGGCUGUGGAAAUGAACCUCAUCUGUUUCCAGAUUUCCCCGUGGACUCUGUUUCUAGUCAGUGGAGGACGGUGACCCCGGGCAGACAGGCAGUUUGUUCUGAUCUUUCAGAUUGUGAACACCACCCUCCUCUGAGAUCCUGCGGGCGCCCGGUUCCUCUCCUCUGGGGUCCUGUGGGUGCCCGGCUCCCUUAUCAUUCUUCUGUGCUGCCCAGCCCCAGCAAUGAGCGCUAGGCAGCCCCUCCCCUGCCCCCUUCGUCCCCCAGGCUUGUGUCCAGCAGAGCCUGUCCCAUUGCACUCGCGCUGAUGUGACCUGGGCCACGUGGGGGAAGUGAACCGAGUCGGGGGCCAGAGGCCACGGCCAGCAGGGGAGGGAAGGCCACGUGGCAUGCUCCUGGUGCCCUGGCUGGGGAGGGUCUCGCUAGCCUCACAUGUGAGGGUCUGUGCGUCCAGCACCUACAUGAUUCGGGCAUGUGCACACAGAGCCGCACAUCCAGGGGGAAGAGAGACGUGUAAACACAGCCGUGGACCGGUGCCCCGGGAGGCGCUGUCAAUCCCCUGGCAUCCGCCUCCUCCCUGCCCUCUGGGUGGUGACCCCUGCGUGAGGGGGUCGCAGCCUGCGCCUUGGGCCAGCUGCAGCCCUCUGUCCUCGCAGUGGAGCCUGGGGUGGUGCUGCUGAGCAGAGGCCAAAGUUUGACAGGGUUUUCGUGCCUGCUUGGGUGGGAAAGCUGGAAGCAGAAAUCGUAGGCCUGGUGUAGGGGCUGAAAUGGAGGGAGGAACCAGGGUCCGUGCGGACAGGAAGCAGCCACAGCCAUGUGGACGGAGGGUGCCGGGCGCUUGGGACCCUACAGCCGCCGGAGGAGACCCCAGGGCUGAGGGGGUUGGUGGAUCUGUCUUCCUACCUCUGGCUCCCUGUGCCCCUUUCUUGUGGCCAGGGCAGCCUAACACAGCAUGGCCCAGGUGCUGUGGCCAGAGCCCAGGGUCACCCUCUGUAUCAGCACAACUGCCACAUCACUCCUCUGGAUGUGUCUUAAUGUGCUGCACUCUCUUGUCUCAGGGCCUUGGGGUUGUCUGCCUGGGAAAUGCACAAUUCCUCCAGCCAGACGAUGGCCCAUCUACCAGGCAGACCCCAGAGAGCCCCACGAUGGCCUGUCCACCACGCACACCCCUGAGAGGCUCAUUUUUCUGGGAGAUGAAGGGCACUUUUCCCAGAAGGGCCUGGGCUGCAUUUGAAGGCUGUGGAGGCCCCCCUGGGUGCCUGAGCAGAGGGCAGGGCCAGUGGGGUCAGUGUGGCUGGGAACAUCAGUGCCUAGUACGUGUGCAGGUGAGGAGUCUGUGGGAGAGAAGCCUGUAUCCUGGUUGCCCGCCCGACAAGGGUCAUGUUGAGAGGGAGCUGAUGAACCCCUGGGCCUCCGUCGUCUGUCUGGACCGUUCCUGGUAAGCUGCAGGCUGGCUGGUCCGUGUCACUGGUGCUUCUCCUCGCCCUAGCUGGUGCGAGUGCUUUGUGGCUGUGAGCAAGGCCGUCACUCAGGGCAGAAUUACUCUGUAGUGUGUUCUUGGGCUAACAAGGAUUGCGUUAAUGCUUAAAAUUGAUACUAAGAUGUGGUGAUCUUGAACAUGGGUGGGUUGGUGUUCAUUUGGCCAAAAUUGGUGCGUUGCGUUCACUGCUAACUUUUUUGUAAAUGGAAAAUACGGGACCUGUAAAUAGGUUUUUAAAAAUAGACACUUCUCUUGCUUUUUACUGUAAGUCAAGUUGACCCAUCGAUGCACCUUGGGGCCUGGGGUCUGUGGGCUGCGAUGAUCUUGAUGUCUAUCUCUCUUGAGGUCUGUCUCUCUUGAGGUCUGUCUCUCGGGCUGAGCCAGUGCUGAGGGAGGAACACUUUGAAAUGGAAGUGGAACCAAACUUCGCAUCUCAUUAUUUGUGGAUGGUGAGGCUGUUCUUGGAAACCCAUAGCUUCUCUUUGGCACCUUAAUUUUUUUGUGAAAUCUUUAAUCACUGAAGAAAUAUGUUACCCAGGUGCAAGUGUUUCUUUUAAUAUCACAGCUGCUUUACGAGAAUUGCCUUCAGAGCUAGUUAUCCUCAGAGGCGGUUUGCAGACCAGAGUGGUUUCCACCCUCAGCAGCUAGAUCUUAAAGAGAAAGAGGAUUCAAAAAAUCCGAUUUUUUAAAACAGAUGACCUGUGUAUUAUAAAUCCAUGAGAAUAUCCUAAAAUUCUCAACCAUAUUGCAGACUUGGUAAAAGUCUUAAACUUCAUAAAUUAUUUAUAAUUGUAGUUGAAGGAUAUAAGGAAUUCUUGAGCUCAUUGCACGAGAAUACCUUUAAAGCCAGAAAUGUUAGUCUCUCACAACGGCCAGAAUAAGCCUUUUCUUCAUGCUGGUUUGACGGGAGCAGCUUUACACUCACGAUGGAUGGAUUAAUAUUUUCUCUAAUUUGGUGACCCAGCUCUGACACUGGUGAGGGGCGCAGUCAUGUGGCUUCCUCGGCAGAUGUCCUUGAGUGUGCCUUCUUGGGCUUCCAAUGAGCAUCACGAGGCCCUGGGAGCCUCUGAAGGUCGUCCCCCAGCCAGGCCGGGGCGUGACAUUCCUACCGAGCCCCCUGAGCACCAGCCGCAUCCGUCCUGCCUCUCCUGCCUCUUGUCUCUGAGCUGACGCUCAAGGCGUUGUCACCAAAGGCUCCUUGCAGGGGAAGGAGGUACGAGAGGUCACUGGGGCAGGUGCCUGGAGUCCAUGGGUCCGUCCUCCGCAGGGUGUACAUCUGUCACUCCUCCUUGUCACAGUCUUACCGCACCUCGAGUAGAUUCACCCGCUCCCACGGCCUCUGUGGAUUAUGAGAAACUGUCCAGUUGGAAGGGACAAGGCCCGUCGUGCUGGCAGCCACCUGGGUGCUGUUGCUGCAGGUGGGAUGGACUCGCACCUUGGUUGCUGGGCUGAAGGGAUUUUAGACUUGGGGUCUGGGACCAAGCGGGUUUCCGUCCUGCCGGGGCGUGGACCUCUUCUACAGCGUCCGUCCAUCAGACAGGUAUGGCCAGUCCCCGUCUCGCUUAUGACCGAGGCUCAAACACUCAGUGUGUGGCAGUUACCUGUGUCCCCCCACCCAGGUCACCUUCCUGCUUUCUUCCGCCCUAGACACGUCAGCCAGACCUCUGUCCUGGUGACAGCCAUGAGCACCUGGAGCCUGUGCCCAUUUCGGGCGGCAGACGUGGGUUGGUGCCCACCAUCACCAAGGGCCGCCAUGUCCCAGGACAGUAUCCUCGCCUCAAGGAGGAUGGGGUUGCUGGUGGCAGCAGUGACUGCAGAGGCUCAGCCUGUGGGCAGGGGUGUGCUGGGGGGUCAGUGCUGGGUGCGGGGCUGGAGGCCGUGGUCUGGGAGGCUGGGCCUGCCUGCUGCCUCACAGUGUGCCUCCUUCCAGGCCCUGCAGGGUAAUGGGACGGCCCGGCCCCACCCACCCCUCAGACACCAUGCGACAGUCCCUGGAGAGGUGCUGAUGGGCUGUGGUCAGGAGGCGGCCAGGCCUGCAGCCCGGGACAGUGGGUGCUUCUCUGCCAGCACUUGUCCUGGGUUGGUGUCACUCCACCCAGCUGUGCCGUGGCUAGGGGUCGGGAACGCCUUGCACACAUCACGCCCUCAUUCACUGUCACCACCCCACCAGGCACCUCGACUCCCCGCUUUCACGGCUGGACUCUGACCUCGGGGGGAAGUGGGGGUGCUGAGCACUUGCCCAGGCUCUACAGGGGAACCCGGGAGAGGGGUGGCUCGCUUGUCCUUGCCCUGGAGCCGGAGGCGCUCGGGGACUGCCGUGGCCAGGCCUGCGUGGUCCUCAAGCACUGAGGGGCUGGCCCUUGGCGAGACCCCUUCUCCCUCCCCCAGGGUACCGAAGGGCCUUUCUCCCAGGGACAAGAGCUCCUUCCUUCUUCCUCUGCCAGGGCCCUGAAUGAGCCCACAGAGGAGAACAAUCGGGCCCACAUCGCGCACAGCCCGCCAUUCAAAGGGAGAGAAUGGGGCGAGCGUGUUCCACGCCCGAGGGAAGCUCACUGGGGCCUUGUCCCCUGCUGAAGGGUGCCUUGUGGCCGGCCCCAUGGCCCCGCCCCACCUGUGCCCCUGGACCCCAUGGCGUCGGGACAGACACCCUGGGCAGCAGAGGACCCCGUGAGGAUGGGGCGGCCGGCCAGCCUGUGUCCUGAGCGCCGUCCUGCCCGUGGCCGGCACAGGGUCAGGGAGCUGUCUGCGAGCCCGGCCCCGGGAGAGGUGAGGCCACCGGGCGGGCCGCAGGGCUUGGCUCUUUAGGGUUUGCUGCCAGGGGCUUGGGGUUUCCCUCUUUCUUUACAGAUGGUGUAUUUUCUCUUAGGAAAACUCCAAGGACCUGCAAACUACUGGGCACAGGAGUGUGUAGAAAUCAGAGUUCGAGUUUUUCUCUGAGUGCUUGCCGUGUGUGAGCGUGCUGAAUCCCCCUCAUAAUGGGGGGACGUCCGGCCAUGCCCACUUUGUGGACACGGAGGUUGUGCACAGAGGGGCCAAGUGCCGAGCACAUCCUGCAUUUCUUAUCUGUGUAGACAUGCUUUCGUUUUCCCAAGGCUCACAGCUCGGUUGAGUGGAAGGGAGCUGAGCAAGCAAGCAGGUGUCCUUCUGUCCCCAGCCUGAGUGACUGGGGCCCGGAUGACUGGCCACCCUUCUUGAGGACCAGAGGAGUCCUUCUGUCCGUCCAGCUGGUCAACGAGCAUCCGGGGCUGAGGCUGUGGUCUGCUGGGUGCUCUGCUGGCCUGGGGAUGCUCCUGGUUCCUCUUCUUGGAGGCUGGUUCUGGGCACCGGGCUGGAGUGUUCUCCACCUUCCUUUAUCGUUAGGAUCGCCUCCGUCUCUUGGUUUCUCCAUUUCACCUGCACUCUGUAAGGAAGCGGGUGGAGGCUGUGGGCACCAACUGACCUGCCACCUGUGGAUGUGGC